rnacentral:lncRNA from 1 species
AUGCUUCUUAAAACUAAUAGGAAUAAAUUAUUUAAAGUCUUAACAGGGAAAAUAAAGCAUUUAAUUUUCAAAAGAUCAAACUACUUAACUGAGUUUCAGCGAUAAAAAAGGUUAUCAAGUUAUCAAUGUGAUUAUGUGAUUAUUUUUGAAAUAAUCACAUACAACAAGAUAGCUUCCGUGUUGUCUUCUAAAAUACAUAAGUUGUAGGAUAUUAUCUAAAAAAUAAUUUUAGCUGCUUGCUACCAAUCUUCUAAGUUUCUCACCGCAUAGUCUAUGUCAAAUCCAUCAAGGUCGAUAAAGUCUCCAUAGUCCUUGCUAGAGAAUAGAUACCUCAAAUUUCUCUUGAAGGCUAUGUAUUGUGGACUCGGCCAGUCUAUGG